UACGUAGGGUCCGAGCGUUGUCCGGAGUUACUGGGCGUAAAGCGCGCGCAGGCGGCGGUGUUGGCCCGGCGUGAAAGCCCCCGGCUCAACCGGGGAGAGUCGUCGGGGACCGCACCGCUUGAGGGCGGUAGGGGCUGGUGGAAUGCCUGGUGUGGUGGUGAAAUGCGUAGAGAUCAGGCAGAACACCUGGGGCGAAGGCGGCCAGCUGGGCCGUCCCUGACGCUGAGGCGCGAAGGCGUGGGGAGCGAACGGG
rnacentral:rRNA from 1 species